CUCCUUUCUGCCUCUGUUCUGCCACCUUCUCUACUCGACGAUCAGCAUUUGGCUUUUUCCAUUUGUGGCAGAUUACUGUAACGCUAUUGUACAACAACUUCCUGCCUCAUUUGGCUCUGGUUCUAAAAACUGCAAAAGCAGAGCCUGUGGCUUCAAUUUUUUUUUUCCCCUCAGCCUUGAACUACAGGAGCUCUAAAAGGAAAGAAAAGGAGGAAGGAGAUAUGUAAAGAGUGUCUGUUACUGAGGAACUAUUUUGGUUGCUUUUCUGCUUUAUAAACUGCUGAGAAUUAAAGAGGGCAAGAGGGGACAACAUGCCUAGCAGGGACAAUGAGAGAAAAAAAGCCGAGACCUUUGAGGGCACUCCCCAUCGAGCGGGGAACAAAGGCCAUGACCCCUAGGUCAAAAGCGUUACACGGUAGGCCAAGCGGGCCCAUUGAAUGCUCCACUGCUGUUUGCUUUAAGAAGGAUUCUGAAAGAAGAAGAGGAAGAGGAGGAAAAAGAGCUUGGAAGAGUUUCUCCUGGGAACAAGCAGGAAAUUAUGGACCUAUUGGAUAUCAGAGUGAACAACCUAUCCAAAGAGGGACGCGCCCUGUAACUAACAACUACUUCUGGCAGCCCUUCAACAGCCAAACAUAUUGUCCUGGAUCAGGGCAGCUUUCGUAUGGCAGCACCAAACUAGGACAGCUUAAGCAAGAAAUUCACAUCAAACUGCUGUAUCAUUAAUGGUAUUAAAAUGUCAAUAACAAUACAUUAAAAGUAAAUUAAUGUGUUGUUGUUUUUUUUACGAGACGUAAAUUGGCCUGCAAACUAUGAUGACUCACAGAUUUUACUCCUCAAACCUUAAGACAUGUGACGGUGAUAGAGAUGAGCAAAAACGAGGACAUUAGAGUAAGAUUUUCACACUUUGAGACAGCUCGGAUGAAAAGCCAAUACAGAUCUCUCUCUCUCUUUUUAACUUAAAUAUUACAUAAAUGUGUGCUCAUACUUUUUCAUUGCUGUGAUAUUACAAGGUCAAAAUGAAUCCCUGAUAUGUGGCGACACAUACUGGCUUAACUUUUACAACCUCUAAAUCUUUAGUUGAUAUGGCAAAAAUACUGUACAUUGUUGUAAUUGUAUUAACUGUUGUAAUCAUUUACUGUUAAAAAAAAACUAUAUUAAUUUAAGAACUCAUUUAAGAAGUUUAAACAGAGUUAGUAUUUAUUAAUUGUAAUAAUUUGUAUUGCUUCAGUAAAAAAUAAAUUCUGCAACACAGAUAAUGACUAUUGUUACCCAAACUGUACCGUAAAAAUACUGAUCUAAGGCACAACUUUCACUGAGGUACUGAGACAAAUUCUCAAAAGUCAAUGACGCGUAAUAAUAAAAAAGUAAAUUCUC